GUUAUGACAUGUCGGUGUAAGGCAGUGAAUAAUUGUAUUGAUUAAUCAUGAAAUAACAGGAAAAUAUGAAGUAAAAGAACUUCUGUAAGAUAGAAUAUAUUUUAAAAUGAAAAUUCAAACUCCUAAAAUUGAUUCUGGAAACAGAUUUCAUUUAACCCAUUUUAACCAGCUCCUAAUUCUUGUUUUCCUCCAGAUUACCAUUUACUGGGAAACUGAUGAAAUACUUGGUUUUAUCCUUCGAUCAACUCCAGACUUCAAAACAUUAAACUUUGAUGAGAAAAGAAGUUCAGAGCUUUAAUCAGCUGUAAAAUGAGUGUGUGCUGCUGGACUACAGUUGCAAGAUGAUCUCAGCAUCUGGUGAAUUUAAACUACUUCCUGCACAUCUAGUAGAUAGCGCCCUGUGCAGUUUAAGUGAAUGGAGGGUGCUGACAAUCCCAAACUCUCUGUAUACAUGGGAAAUGAGCUGCUGAUCUGAACAGAUAAGGGUUGCAGCUUCCAGGAUGACCACAAAAUUUGCUUAGCUUCACCUCUGAGUGCUGGGGCCACUACCUGUCCCUGCCUGCAUAGCAGUGAGAAGACAGGAGUGUUACCUCUGCAGCCUUGGGUCCUUGUUCUCAUUUGCUUGGAAGAAAGACAGAAUGAGCAAUUACUGUCAGCUGCUUCACAAUUGAAAUGAGGGACCGGCCUUCUGAACUGUUCCAGGAGAUGGAGCAGAGCAGUGCACUUUACCUUGAUGAAGAACCUUCCUGAAGUUUAUAUAUGGUCUCACAGUAGUGUGAAGGAUGACUGUAGGGAAAUGCUUUUCUGGCCACGUGCUCUGGACAUCCAACCAGCCAGAUAUUUUAAAUGAGAGGAAAAAGCUUGAUUGCAACAACAUGAGCCCUAUAACGGACCUGUUUAAUCCUCAGCACCUUGUCUACCUCUACUGUGAACAAGAAGCAGAAAGCUGUCCACCUUGGUUGCUGUUGCUGUUGGUUUGACAGUUCUUGGCAUGACUGGCUUUCCCAGAGGAGCAGCAGCCCAACUAUUUAUACUGUGGUUGUGUCUACAGUAGCAUUCUUGAGGAAAUCUCCCAUCGUUAGAAUGCUGGCAGAGACAGUAACAGUGGGAGAACUGGCUCUGUCAGGGCAUUGGAGCUUUUAGCCAUCAAACUGGCUAACCCUCUGGGUAUUCUUUGUGCCUCCCUAAGUAAAAAUGAAGGCAAGCAAUCCAAUCCAAGCUGAAUGCAGCUUUACUUUUCUCACCUUGUUUGCUGGGUCCACUUCACUGGUUCAGUGCACACUAGUAUAUAAGCCUUAGUGAAUUCUCGAGGUUUGCUCUCACUUCAUCCAAACAGAUAGAGAUUUGCUACUGAAUUCUGUGAGAGAAGAAUCAGGCUUUAAUACUGAAUUAUCAGCCUUUCAUAAGGACAGAAAUUAAUUCUAUUGAUUAUUUUGCCUUUGGCAUAGCCUUGCUUUAUGCUAAAAGUGCACAGAGUUGUUAACUUAGUUUUCAGAGCUGUGAUGUGUCCUCCAGCAUGGAAAGAACCAGUGCUGCAGUGGUAGAUUGUUCUGUCUGCAGUCAGAAGUUUUUGUUUUUCUGCUCUCUGAAAUGCAGGCUUAGGGACUGAAGAGCUAGGAGUAUGACAUUGUAAGAAAGAGAUUCAGACAUCAAGUCACUCUUACUCAAGAUAUUAAGUCACAGCUUUUCUGUGUAUCUAACGUUUCUGAGUUGAUGGCAUGUCAAUCAAUGAUGGUUAUGUCAAUCUGAGUGGUAUCUAGCAUUGUUUAUUCUGUGAGAUGUCUCUUUGUAUCAGUUCAGCCAACCUUGCAAUCUAGCUGUACCUAGGCUCUUCAUCCUCUCUCUCCCCAGAUACUGCACUUAUCUAGACACCCACUUUCUGAGGGCUCCAUCUGUGCUGUUCCUCCUGCCUGCCUCUCCUCAGAAGGCACCUUCCUGGACAGCAGUUUUCUGAUCCUGUUGGUCUGAUCUACCUUCCAUGGAGUGACUGCAGAGCAGCCACGCAGAUGAAAAAAGAACCCGCCUAAGCAUGGAUUUCAGCAGGCGGUCUGCUCCGGAAAGUGUGAUGUCUGAGGUCAAAGUCUUGUGUUCAGAUUCUCUUUUCAAUUUCUGUCUUACAGCAUAAAUUUAUGGUGAUAUUCGGCAUUUCAGAAGACUUUCAGAUUCUGUAUGUCACCCUAAAAAUAUUUCAAGAAGUUUCUUUUGUUUUAUGCCAGCCUGCUGGCCAUGGUGGAUAUCUCUCCAUGUUUUCCAGUCUUCAGGUUGCUUAGUUCACCUAUUAUUUUAUUAUGAGUGAAACUCUUAGGCUGUCUCAGAUGUGAUUGGUGAUCUUGGUCACCCCACCUGAGGUGCCUUCAAGAGUAUUUUCUAAUAGUCACUGAGCAACCUGAAUGAUUUUCUUUCCUGGUUUUUGUCUCUGCUAUUCAAAUCUCUACCUUUGAUUGACAGAAUUUCAGGGGUGGCUUCAUUCUUCACUAUACAAGCACCAUACCACAACCUUUGGAGAUCUGAGAGCAAAAGAAGCCCUGUUCUGCCUCACGGGUGGGAAGGAGAGGGUUCUACACCAGACCCUGUGCUCUGCUGUGGGACUAGCCUGUACCUGAACCAAUUCUUUUAUUUAUCUAUCCCAAGAGGCCAACCUGUGUGGCAGGGGGAGCUAGCCUGGCAGCUAGUAUGCUCAUGUGUGAGAGAGAGAUGUGAAUCUUGCUAGAAAAGGGAACUGGCCCUGGUCCCCUUAAAUGUUCAUCAGUUCCUUUUGCUAGCUGGAAUAGCAGUAGAACCCAUGGAAGACAGGAGUGGCUUAGCCCUGCUCUUUAUGAAAGAAAAUGCUGAAGUGCUUUAAGACAAGGAAGAGUUCAGAGUGGAGUGGCAUGCAAGGCAAGUACUUCAUACAGCCCAGAAUAAGGCAGAUGGGCCUUGGGGUAUAUAUAGGAUUUGACUGGAUAUCCUUGGCACAUCCUCUGAGCCAUAUCUGAAGCAUAUGUUGUCCAUUGAAUGGACUCUUGUGAAUCCCUUUUUAUGGGCAGAUCCCUAACCCCUGAUAAUCAGUCUGGCUCCCUAGCUUAGUGCUGGGAGCCCAGCACCCAGACAUGAAGAGCUGCAGUGUUGAGUGCUGUUUGUCCAGGUACUUCUGUAGGUAGGCACCAUGUCCGUAACUUCAUUUUGAGAAGCACAAGUCUCUCAUUGCCUUCAGACUGAUUUGUGGAUCUUCAGGAUACCUUAGCAUGUUGUAAUGCAUAUACAGCCCUGAGUCCAUCAUAAUUAUAUGGACAUGUGACAAUAUCCAAUAUAAAUAGAUGAGAAUGCAACCUGUUAGAGAACUACAAUGUGCUUUUUCUGCAACACCCCCGAGCCUGUGUAUUGACAUUAACAAUAGCAAAGGCCAUCUCUGAAGUAUGUUCUUCUCUUUUUUAUUAAUGAUUAAUCCAGAUCUAGACUGGCUAUUCUGCCUUCAGUAGUCAUAGUCCAUGUAGAAUACAGCAGAACACAAUGAUGGCAUUAACUUCUGUGUAAAGAGUACCUUUAAUGAAGUAGUUAUUUAGUUUUUGUUAUUAUAGAACUAUAGUUAGAAUUGCUGAAACUUUGCAUCUUUAUAUGCACACAAGGUUCUUACUAGCUACAAAAACAUCUUUAUUCAAACUGAACCAUCUUUACUGAUGAAAAUAAGUGAAUUAUCCUAAUUUGAUUGCUCUUCUUGACAAUAAAAUUAUUUUUGCACCAAUAAAUUGGUUAGUAAUUCCCAUUGAAAAGUAAUUAACCUACCUUCUUAGUACCCUCAAAACAUUAACUGGGUUUGUCUAUCCAAAAAAAUAAAAAUGCAUUUUUUACAGAAGGCUCCUCAUUCAUUCAGCAUAUAAGUCUGUCUUGAGAAAGUGACAGCAUAAAUCUAUGAUUGUCCUUUUCUCAGGUCUUAGAGAAGGUUCAGCAUCUUAGAUGAGUAACUGGCCACCAGAUGAGAUAGCCUGCAACUGGAAGCUAAAAGAGCAUUUUAAAACAUGAGAACUGGCAGUUUCAAAGUACAGCAAAUGCAAAGGCAUUUAAGCCUAUGUUUUGGUUAUUUAGUGUAACAACUACAAUGUUCUGCAGUGUGUGUUCUCAGCAGAACUGUUUAUAUGGUCAGAGUUUGCUCAUGUUUAGAUACAUUGCCAAAUCAAAGCAUCUACUUCUUUCCCUCCUGUCCAGUCUAGAUAUUUAUAUUGCACCAUUGCCUGCAGUAUAAAUCUCUUCAGAAUGUCUUUUCAGUGGAAUUUUUUAACUUGAAAUGGCUUUUUAAAUGAGGACUGUAAUCUUAGCCAAAAUGGAAAUAUCCUGGGUAAAAAUAUCUGGGUUUAAUUACAUUUUCAUGUCUUCCAUUAGGAAAAUAAAGAGCUAAAAGAUCUUCCUGUGUCUGGCAACCUAAACUUAAACAAACUGGCUUGUUGUCAUCUGACUGGCUGGAUUUUUGGAAUUGUAUUUUCUGACUGUAGAAAACUGGAAAAUAUUUUGUGGAGAGGUUUCAGUUUUGCAGUGAAAUUUUGAAAAAUUCUGUGGAAGACUGUAAGUUAAUUAAAAUAUUUCUAUUUAGCAUGUCUGUUUUUUACAUAAAAACAACCUGAACUUCCAAGCAUGUUCUGAAAGUAAUCAGUUACUUUGUUCUAUUGAAACACUUUAGUUCAUACUUGCACUAAUUGUAGGUAUCUAAUUCAGAAGGCUGGCUCCUAGGCUGUCUGUGUAAUCCAGAGAGAAAACCUGCUACACAGCAUGAAUCUGGACAUGUAAAUCAGGCUCUUGCUUUCCAUUUCCUCUUGGAGGAACCUUUCUCCGUCCCUUAACCAUAUGGUAUGCCCAGGGAGACCAGCUUCAAAGUUCGAUGCUUUAAGAUAUAUAUUUAAGAUAUCUACUGACCAAAAUUGGAUUAGAUAAAGAGUAUAACUACAGCAUUUUCUGGGACCAUUGUCAUAUGUAUGAUUAGCUGCAUUUAUCUGUUAACAUAAGUAGGUUGGAUAAAACUGUUCUGUGUGUGCAGCAUGUGUGUGUUUUUCUGCAUGUGAGAGAAAGUGUAAGAAAAGAUUGCGUGAAUUGCUAAAUAAGGUUUCCAAAAAUAUUCCGUCCCCAGGAAUCUGUGUCUGCUGGCUGUCUUUCCCUACCCAUCCUCUUAAAUCCUCUAUCAUUUCUGGCAUUUUUGUGUCUCGCAAGGCACCCUCCUCCCACAGCAUCAUCAUUUCUCCCUUAACUUCUCUUUCUUUCAUCUUAGAGCUCCAUGCUUCUCUUGGCAUAGCCAGAAUCUCUCCUUCAUGCUUUCAUAAUGUCUUUCUCCACUACCCUUUAAGCUUUCAAAGCUU